UUUAUGGAGAGUUUGAUCCUGGCUCAGAGUGAACGCUGGCGGCGUGCCUAAUACAUGCAAGUCGAACGAUGAAGCUUCUAGCUUGCUAGAAGUGGAUUAGUGGCGCACGGGUGAGUAACGCAUAGAUAACAUGCCCUUUAGUCUGGGAUAGCCACUGGAAACGGUGAUUAAUACUAGAUACUCCCUACGGGGGAAAGAAUUUCGCUAAAGGAUUGGUCUAUGUCCUAUCAGCUUGUUGGUGAGGUAAUGGCUCACCAAGGCUAUGACGGGUAUCCGGCCUGAGAGGGUGAACGGACACACUGGAACUGAGACACGGUCCAGACUCCUACGGGAGGCAGCAGUAGGGAAUAUUGCUCAAUGGGGGAAACCCUGAAGCAGCAACGCCGCGUGGAGGAUGAAGGUUUUAGGAUUGUAAACUCCUUUUGUUAGAGAAGAUUAUGACGGUAUCUAACGAAUAAGCACCGGCUAACUCCGUGCCAGCAGCCGCGGUAAUACGGAGGGUGCAAGCGUUACUCGGAAUCACUGGGCGUAAAGAGUGCGCAGGCGGGUAAUUAAGUCAGAUGUGAAAUCCUAUAGCUUAACUAUAGAACUGCAUUUGAAACUGAUUAUCUAGAGUGUGGGAGAGGUAGGUGGAAUUCUUGGUGUAGGGGUAAAAUCCGUAGAGAUCAAGAGGAAUACUCAUUGCGAAGGCGACCUACUGGAACAUUACUGACGCUCAUGCACGAAAGCGUGGGGAGCAAACAGGAUUAGAUACCCUGGUAGUCCACGCCCUAAACGAUGAAUGCUAGUUGUUGUGGAGCUUGUCUCUGCAGUAAUGCAGCUAACGCAUUAAGCAUUCCGCCUGGGGAGUACGGUCGCAAGAUUAAAACUCAAAGGAAUAGACGGGGACCCGCACAAGCGGUGGAGCAUGUGGUUUAAUUCGAAGAUACGCGAAGAACCUUACCUAGGCUUGACAUUGAUAGAAUCCGCUAGAGAUAGUGGAGUGCCCCUUUGGGGAGCUUGAAAACAGGUGCUGCACGGCUGUCGUCAGCUCGUGUCGUGAGAUGUUGGGUUAAGUCCCGCAACGAGCGCAACCCUCGUCCUUAGUUGCUAGCAGUUCGGCUGAGCACUCUAAGGAGACUGCCUUCGUAAGGAGGAGGAAGGUGAGGACGACGUCAAGUCAUCAUGGCCCUUACGCCUAGGGCUACACACGUGCUACAAUGGGAAGUACAAAAAGAUGCAAUAUCGCGAGGUGGAGCAAAUCUUAAAAACUUCUCUCAGUUCGGAUUGUAGUCUGCAACUCGACUACAUGAAGCUGGAAUCGCUAGUAAUCGCAAAUCAGCCAUGUUGCGGUGAAUACGUUCCCGGGUCUUGUACUCACCGCCCGUCACACCAUGGGAGUUGUAUUCGCCUUAAGUCGGGAUACUAAAUUGGUUACCGCCCACGGCGGAUGCAGCGACUGGGGUGAAGUCGUAACAAGGUAACCGUAGGUGAACCUGCGGUUGGAUCACCUCCUUUCUA
rnacentral:rRNA from 1 species